AGUGAACGCUGGCGGUAGGCCUAACACAUGCAAGUCGAACGGCAGCACAGUAAGAGCUUGCUCUUACGGGUGGCGAGUGGCGGACGGGUGAGGAAUACAUCGGAAUCUACUUUUUCGUGGGGGAUAACGUAGGGAAACUUACGCUAAUACCGCAUACGACCUACGGGUGAAAGCAGGGGAUCUUCGGACCUUGCGCGAUUGAAUGAGCCGAUGUCGGAUUAGCUAGUUGGCGGGGUAAAGGCCCACCAAGGCGACGAUCCGUAGCUGGUCUGAGAGGAUGAUCAGCCACACUGGCACUGAGACACGGUCCAGACUCCUACGGGAGGCAGCGGUGGGGAAUAUUGGACAAUGGGCGCAAGCCUGAUCCAGCCAUACCGCGUGGGUGAAGAAGGCCUUCGGGUUGUAGAGCCCUUUUGUUGGGAAAGAAAAGCAGCAGGUUAAUACCCCGCUGUUCUGACGGUACCCAAAGAAUAAGCACCGGCUAACUUCGUG
rnacentral:rRNA from 1 species